rnacentral:rRNA from 1 species
CAGCCGCCACGGUAAUACGAAGGGGGCUAGCGUUGCUCGGAAUGACUGGGCGUAAAGGGCGCGUAGGCGGCGAUCAAAGUCAGGCGUGAAAUUCCUGGGCUCAACCUGGGGGCUGCGCUUGAUACUUGGUUGCUUGAGUGGGGAAGAGGGUCGUGGAAUUCCCAGUGUAGAGGUGAAAUUCGUAGAUAUUCGGCGGAACACCAGUGGCGAAGGCGACUCACUGGCCCGAUACUGACGCUGAGGCGCGAAAGCGUGGGGAGCAAACAGGAUUAGAUACCCCCGUAGUCCCUGUCUCUUAUAC